rnacentral:lncRNA from 1 species
AUUUAAUCUUCUUCAUUGUUUAGCUUUGAAACCUUCCCAAGUUUUUAUGCAAGAUGUAACUAUAUGGUAAAGAUGAUGAAUUACUAAACACUUGAACCUGAACUUACACAUCAAAGCACAUUUGUGAGAUGCGGACAGUGAGCCCAAGGGAAACAAUAAAGACCUGUCUCCCUACCUCCAAUCACUUAGAAAAGAAACCCGCUAGCCAGUGAUUUUUCUUACCCUUCACAGAGAGCUUCUUUCACAAAGAUCUACAGAAAGCAGCAAAGUCUACUCACAUCUUCCUGCUGC